GCUUAGGUUUGACUACUGGCCCUUCCCCAUCUUAACUACAGAACUUUGGAGAAAUAGACUUAACUUCUCUGUGCCUCACUUUUUUCAUUUGUAAAAUGGAGCUGAUAAUAUAAUAUUAAGGAUGAUAUAAUAAUUUCCCCAUAGGGUUGUUAUGAGGACUAAGUGAGUUAAUAUAUGUAAAAUAUUUACAUAUAUAUUUAUUUAGAAAAAUAUAUAGAACAUAGCAAGUGUUAAGCAUUUAGUAAAUAAAUAAAAUGUUUUAAAGAUCUGUGUUCUUCCUCUACUGUUGAACCAACUCUCUAAUACCAACAAUUAUAUCCCUGUUUUGUUUUCCUAAUGAUCUUCUCUAUCCAAACAACUCUCUUUUAUAUCUGGUCUUGUUUUCUUUUCUUCUUUUGCCUUCCAUCUUGUAUGUUAAUUCUUUCAGUUCCACUUUUCUUACCUAACAUUUAUUUGUCAUGUAGGGAAGCACAAAUAACAGACAGAACAGAGACAGAAGAAUAAAAAGGCAAGAGAAGCAGAGAUAUAAAGCCAUAUGGCCCAAAAAAGAUGGAGGAGCUCUAAGUUCUUGACUUUUUAAAUUUUAGGUCCUGCCCUACCAGUGUCAUUUUCUAUUAUCAAGAUCCACAUGAUACCCUUAAAUGCUUUCUGUAAAUGCCCUCAUUUGUUUGUUUUCUGUCCUUCGCAGUAAAAUAGUACAUCCUAAAUUAUAUUCAUAAUGGACAACCAAGUUUUCAAUAACUGUUAAAUUAUGUUUAAAUAGUAAUUACCACGGCAAUAACUUUGGAAGGUUUGGAAGGCAAUAGACUAAUUUCAUUGCUUAAAAAUAUUGUUUAACAAGAGAAGAAAAUGCAGAGACUCACUUCUAUUGAAAAUUUACUAUGUACCCAACACUGCUCUAGGUUCUCUUACUACAUACUUUUAACUCUUUUCAUCUGUGUAUCAUUUUUUUCCAGAAAGAACUGAAUAAUAAUCAUCAAAGAGGUAUUCAAGAACAUGAAUUGAUUUUGUUGCACGCAGGAUAAUGUUCUUGUUUAAGAAACAGCAUGAAGGCCACUGUGGAUGAUGAAGGUUGAAAAAUAAAUGAAUAAAUGAGUGAGAAAAUGAAUAAUAGAAGACAAAGUCAACAGGUUAAAAGAAGCAAAGCCAGGUGAUGCCAACUGCUGUCUUAUCUUUUCUCUAGGGAUUUGAAAACUUGUACAGUAAGAACAUGCACAUUAGUUACUCAAAUACAAAAUGUGAAGAGUUCUUUGGGGGAGAAUCCUGGAGUCAGCCCCCUCACAGUGAUGUGAAUAUUUUUCUAUUGAAGAGAUCAAAAGAAUGUGCCAUAAGAACAUCUCUUCAGCAAAUGAUAUGAUUAAGAAAGUGAAAAGCCUAAGUAAAGGAUGCAGAAAGAGGUCACCAGUACACUAUCUGAGCUCACUUUGCAAGCAAGGAUAUCAGAAGUGGUGAAGUGUUCCUAACUAACUCAGCUUUUUUUCAUCGAAUAUAUUUCCUCUGUCUUCCUAAUUGCUAAAGAAAAAAUAUAAAUGAAAAAUAUAAG
rnacentral:lncRNA from 10 species